rnacentral:rRNA from 1 species
GUGAGGUAAUGGCUCACCAAGGCAUCGACGGGUAGCUGGUCUGAGAGGACGAUCAGCCACACUGGGACUGAGACACGGCCCAGACUCCUACGGGAGGCAGCAGUGGGGAAUAUUGCGCAAUGGGGGAAACCCUGACGCAGCAACGCCGCGUGUGGGAUGACAGCUUUCGGGUUGUAAACCACUUUCAGUGACGACGAAAAUGACGGUAGUCACAGAAGAAGGUCCGGCCAACUACGUGCCAGCAGCCGCGGUAACACGUAGGGACCAAGCGUUGUCCGGAUUUAUUGGGCGUAAAGAGCUCGUAGGCGGUUCCGUAAGUCGGAUGUGAAAACUCAGGGCUCAACCCUGAGACGCCAUCUGAUACUGCGGUGACUAGAGUCCGGUAGAGGAGCAUGGAAUUCCUGGUGUAGCGGUGGAAUGCGCAGAUAUCAGGAGGAACACCAACGGCGAAGGCAGUGCUCUGGGCCGGUACUGACGCUGAGGAGCGAAAGCAUGGGGAGCGAACAGGAUUAGAUACCCUGGUAGUCCAUGCCGUAAACGUUGGGCACUAGGUGUGGGUCUCAUCCAACGAGAUCCGUGCCGUAGCUAACGCAUUAAGUG